CCUCCGCAGGCUGGACGGUCCCCAGGCUGGGCUGGGCGAGUACCUCUUUGAAAGGCUCACCCUUAAGCACGACUAGGAGG
rnacentral:pre_miRNA from 13 species